rnacentral:rRNA from 1 species
GACAGAGGUGCCGAGCGUUAGGCGGAACCACUGGGCUUAAAGCGUGUGUAGGCGGGCGGGCAAGUACCUUGUGAAAUCCCACGGCUCAACCGUGGAACGGCUGGGUAUACUGCCUGUCUUGAGCCAGCUAGGGGCGAGCGGAACAGACGGUGGAGCGGUGAAAUGCGUAGAUAUCGUCUGGAACGCCGAAGGUGAAAACAGCUCGCUGGGGCUGUGCUGACGCUGAGACACGAAAGCCAGGGGAGCGAACGGG